CUGCAUGCUGCGACACACAAGCGCGGGAAAUUAUACACAAACGCGGGAGAUUAUACACAACGCGCGAAAUUAGACGCUAACUCAACACUGCGCAUGCUCAUUUUGAUGGCUGGAUAGAAGAGAGCUACUACGUCUGUAAUCACCAGAUUCAUUUGCUGGGAGUUCUGGACAUGCACGUUGUGGAGAGCAGUAACUUCCAUCAUGCCACGGAGAACUCCCCUGCACGAUGCCACUAAUCACAUCCUUGCAGGAAGAGACAAGAAUUCAAUGUUAGAAAUCAAAUAUAUUAAUCCAGUUAAAGGUCGUGGUAUCUUCACUUUAGCUGUUUUCAAUCAAGGAGACUUUGUGGCCGAGUAUAGAGGGGAGCUCAUUGAUGCAGCCGAAGCUGAACAUGGACGUAAACUGUAC
rnacentral:lncRNA from 1 species